rnacentral:rRNA from 1 species
AGAGUUUGAUCAUGGCUCAGAACGAACGCUGGCGGCGUGCUUAACACAUGCAAGCCGCGUGCGCAGUUUCCGUAGCAAUACGGAGAUGGGCGCACGGCGCACGGGUGCGUAACACGUGGGCAAUCUGCCCUUUGAUGGGGAAUAACCCGCCGAAAGGGGGCUAAUUCCGCAUAAGAUUCUUUGGACUUCGGUCUGGAGAUUGAAAGCAGCAAUGCGUCGAAGGAGGAGCCCGCGCCCGAUUAGCUAGUUGGUGAGGUAACGGCUCACCAAGGCUAUGAUCGGUAGCUGGUCUGAGAGGAUGAUCAGCCACACUGGAACUGAGACACGGUCCAGACUCCUACGGGAGGCAGCAGUGGGGAAUCUUGCACAAUGGGCGAAAGCCUGAUGCAGCGACGCCGCGUGGGGGAUGAAGCAUUUCGGUGUGUAAACCCCUUUCGACUGGGAAGAAUACCUCGCAAGAGGGGUGACGGUACCAGUAGAAGAAGCCCCGGCUAACUACGUGCCAGCAGCCGCGGUAAGACGUAGGGGGCCAGCGUUGUUCGGAAUUACUGGGUGUAAAGGGUUCGUAGGCGGUGCGGCAAGUUGGGAGUGAAAUCUCUGGGCUUAACCCAGAGGCUGCUUCCAAAACUGCUGUGCUCGAGUGUGAGAGAGGCUCGUGGAAUUGCAGGUGUAGCGGUGAAAUGUGUAGAUAUCUGCAGGAACACCCGUGGCGAAAGCGGCGAGCUGGAUCACUACUGACGCUGAGGAACGAAAGCUAGGGGAGCAAACAGGAUUAGAUACCCUAGUAGUCC